GCCAGGGGUACUUGGCCACAGCAGACUCUGUUUGAGCUGAGUGGAUGUGGGUUUGUUUCCCGGGCGUCCUGUAGCGGGAGCUGAUGAAAGAAGAGACUGUUAGCGGAGAGGAAGAAGCGGAAGAUGGCGGUUCAAAGGUUAAACUGGAACUGAUUCCGGUGGAGCUGGGGGUCACAGAGAGGGGGAGUGAGAGCGUACAUUCUUCAAAAUGUUGUUACGCGUGAGUACGAGAAGUUGUCUACCGUAAAUAUACCGU